UACCCAGUCAAUUUCAGCAGUGAACCAGUUCCAUCAGAUCUAAAUGAAUUGAGUGCUGAUCUGACUCUGGAUCAGUCCAGGUGUGGAGUGUGUGAGAGGGUACUGAGGGACCCAGUCAUCACCACCUGUGGACACAGUUUCUGCAGGCAGUGCAUCAGCAGCUAUUGGGAGCAGCCUGGACUACCAGGAGACCAAGCCUGUCCCCAGUGUGGAAAGACAUGCAGAACUCAACCUCCUCUACAGCCUCUUCUGGAUGAACACACAGACAUGG